rnacentral:rRNA from 1 species
UACAGAGGUCCCAAGCGUUGUUCGGAUUCACUGGGCGUAAAGGGUGCGUAGGUGGCAUGGCCAGUUUGAUGUGAAAGCUCAGGGCUUAACCCUGAAAUGGCAUUGAAUACUGCUGUGCUGGAGGUUUGGAGGGGGGACUGGAAUUCUUGGUGUAGCAGUGAAAUGCGUAGAUAUCAAGAGGAACACCAGUGGCGAAGGCGAGUCCCUGGACAACACCUGACACUGAGGAGCGAAAGCGUGGGGAGCGAACAGG